rnacentral:lncRNA from 10 species
CAGCUUUCUGAAAUGGUGUCCCACCGCAAGGACUGGAGAAGGGGAAAAGAGAAGGUUUUGUCCCUUCAGUUUCCAUAAAUGAGAAGCAACUGUCACCCACCAAAACUCCAUACCAAUGGAGCAUUCCCCAAAAGACACAAAGCAAAUUCGAGCGAUUUUCUUAUUUGAGUUCAAAAUGGGCUGUAAAGCAGUGGAGACAACUCGCAACAUCAACAAUCCAUUUGGCCCAGGAACUGCUAAUGAAUGUACAGUGGAGUGGUGGUUCAAGAAGUCUGGCAAAGGAGAUGAGAGCCUUGAAGAUGAGGAGUGUAGUGGCUGACCAUUGGAAAUUGACAACAACCAAUUAAGAGCGGUCAUCAAAGCUGAUCCUCUUACAAUGACACAAGAAGUUGCCAAAGAACUCAAUGUUGACCAUUCUUUGGUCAUUCAGCAUUUGAAGCAAAUUGGGAAGGUGAAAAAGCUUGAUGAGUGGGUGCCUCAUGAGCUGAGCGAAAAUUUUUUUAAAAAUCAUUGUUUUGAAGCGUUGUCUUCUCUUAUUCUACGCAACAACAGUGAACCAUUUCUCUAUCAGAUUGUGAUGUGCAAGGAAAAGUGGAUUUUAUAUGACAAUUGGUGAUGCCCAGCUCAGUGG